GACGCUCUCCCCAAGGACACAAGCCAUGCAUGCCCGCACACCCGGGAGGCGGCGGACGGCUCAGGACAACGGUUGCACCCCCCGCGGCGGUCCCUGCUAGCCGGACACCGCUGGCAACCCGGCGCCAAGACGUGCGCGCAAGUGCGGGCGCCCGCGGGCGAGCAGCGUGACGCAGCGACGGCCCGCCCGGGCUUCCGGGGCAUCAUCCGGUCG
rnacentral:rRNA from 1 species